AUGGAGAUUGCCCGCCGGGAGCCCUUCAGCAUCAUGUCCGGCCGGAAGCGCCCGCGCCCGCGCCCGCUGGAGAUCCUUCGCCAGCGGUUCCAGGCUGAGCUCGUCGCGGUCCGUCGCCUCCUCGCCGAGGCGCACGCCGUGCUUCCGGCCUCGUCCCCGUCGGCUCCCCGCGUGCGCGUCUGUCCAGCGGAGGAGCCGCCAGCCAAGAAGAGGAAGGCGUCCCCCCUUACCAAGCACAGCCGCCGGGGCCUCUGCGGCGACUACAUCGAGAUCGAGAUGCACGCCGUCCAAGACGCGGCCCUUGUGGAGAUGCAGAAGCAGCUGGACAAUUUCCUUCGAGAGAGCAAGAAUCCGUCGACGCAUCAUCAACACAAACAGACGAUGGCCCAAGAGGAGGACGAAGACGUUGACAUCGUCGGCGGCGUCUCCCCUUUGCCGGUCAGACCGACACCCGUGAAGCUCGUCGAAGAGGACGAGGAGUACGUGGACAUCUGCGGCGACGCCUCACCGGUGAAGAAUCUUGGCGAAGAUGCAACCAUCAGCGGUUCGGAUUCUGGUUCAUCUCACCAGAGCGUCGACAGUCGUCCAGCUCCCGCAGAGCGCGCCGCCAACACUACGCCUCCAACGCGCGUCCUCAUCGCCCGUGCCAACGAGAUUCUGGAAAGGCGGCGAAAGGAGGAGACGUCCCGGGCGAGGGAGAAGGCACGCCAGGAGCUGCUCGAGACGGAGAGGGCGGCAAUGCCGAAGGACACCCUGGACGAGGACGUGAAGGCCCUCGGCAUUGAUCAGCACAACACGGCCAGGCCCAACAACUUGUUGCGACAGAUUGGACUCUUUCUCAAGGUUGACGACGACGACAUGAAGCAGCAGCAGAGCUUCGAAGAAGAUUUAGAGGAAGGGGAGAUUCGGCUGUGA
rnacentral:rRNA from 1 species